rnacentral:rRNA from 1 species
AUUUUCCGGUUGAUCCUGCCGGACCCGACUGCUAUCAGAGUGGGACUAAGCCAUGCGAGUUAACGUAGCAAUACGUGGCAUACGGCUCAGUAACACGUGGUCAACAUACCCAGAGGACGUGGAUAACCUCGGGAAACUGAGGAUAAACCGCGAUAGACCAUAAUGUCUGGAAUGAUUUAUGGUUCAAAUCUACAUGGCCUCUGGAUUGGACUGCGGCCGAUCAGGCUGUUGGUGAGGUAAUGGCCCACCAAACCUGAAACCGGUACGGGCUCUGAGAGGAGAAGCCCGGAGAUGGGCACUGAGACAAGGGCCCAGGCCCUAUGAGGCGCAGCAGGCGCGAAAUCUUUGCAAUAGGCGAAAGCCUGACAAGGUUACUCUGAGUGAUCUCCGCUAAGGAAAUCUUUUGACACCUCUAAAAAUGGUGUAGAAUAAGGGGUGGGCAAGCCUGGUGUCAGCCGCCGCGGUAAUGCCAGCACCCCGAGUGGUCGGGACGAUUAUUGGGCCUAAAGCAUCCGUAGCCGGUUCCUUAAGUCCUCCGUUAAAUCCACCUGCUUAACAGAUGGGCUGCGGAGGAUACUAUAGAGCUAGGAGGCGGGAGAGGCAAGCGGUACUCAGUGGGUAGGGGUAAAAUCCGUUGAUCCAUUGAAGACCACCAGUGGCGAAGGCGGCUUGCCAGAACGCGCUCGACGGUGAGGGAUGAAAGCUGGGGGAGCAAACCGGAUUAGAUACCCGGGUAGUCCCAGCUGUAAACGAUGCAGACUCGGUGAUGAACAGGCUUCGUGCCUAUUCAGUGCCGCAGGGAAGCCGUUAAGUCUGCCGCCUGGGGAGUACGGUCGCAAGACUGAAACUUAAAGGAAUUGGCGGGGGAGCACCACAAGGGGUGAAGCCUGCGGUUCAAUUGGAUUCAACGCCGGAAAU